rnacentral:lncRNA from 1 species
GAAAAUCAGAUUGUGCCCUCUAAUGCCAAGCUAUGGAUAUAGACUGCUAAUGUUGUGUGCAAAAUUGACCUUAUAGGUCACCCGCCAUGGUAACUGUCCUCUUUGAUACACUUUUUGCCUGCUAGGUUUUUUCAGAAUUCAUUAAUUUGCCCCAGGUCACUUGGGAUGUUGUUAACUGUAUUCUUUUCAUAUUUUCAUAGGGGAAAAAUGUCAUACUGGAUGAGUUAGACUGAAGUGUUCUUCUCCCCUCUUCUGCGAUUAUCAGAGGAGAGAACUCUUCUUUGCAGCCAGGCCAAACUCAAGAAGUUGGGGUGGAACAUAGCUCCCUUUCUUUGGCCCUGGUGAUAAGAGAACCCCUCCAUGAAGUGAGCAUGUUUUACUGAAUGUAAAAGAAUCCGCCUAAAAAUUUGGAGCAGUGAGGUAAGACCUAGACUGUAACUCAGUGACAUAUGUCACAUGCAGGUUUUCUUUUACAUACUCUGAUUUUA